rnacentral:rRNA from 1 species
UACGUAGGGGGCAAGCGUUGUCCGGAAUCAUUGGGCGUAAAGAGCGUGUAGGCGGCCCGCUAAGUCCGCCGUGAAAGUCCAGGGCUCAACCCUGGAAUGCCGGUGGAAACUGUCGGGCUGGAGUCCGGAAGAGGCGAGUGGAAUUCCUGGUGUAGCGGUGAAAUGCGCAGAUACCAGGAGGAACACCGGUGGCGAAGGCGGCUCGCUGGGCCGGUACUGACGCUGAGGCGCGAAAGCGUGGGGAGCAAACGGG